CCUACGGGUGGCAGCAGUGGGGAAUAUUGCGCAAUGGGCGAAAGCCUGACGCAGCGACGCCGCGUGAGGGAUGAAGGUCUUCGGCUCGUAAACCUCUGUCAGCAGGGACGAACGGUACCUGUGCUACUCAGCAGUGACUUGACGGUACCUGCAAAGGAAGCACCGGCUAACUCCGUGCCAGCAGCCGCGGUAAUCCGGAGGGUGCGAGCGUUAAUCGGAAUUACUGGGCGUACAGAGCUCGUAGGCGGUAUGUCAAGUCAAGGGUGAAAGCCCCGCGCUCAACGUGGGAACUGCCUUUGAAACUGGGAGACUGGAGUGUGUGAGAGGAUAGUGGAAUUCCAGGUGUAGGAGUGAAAGGCGUAGAUAUCUGGAGGAAC
rnacentral:rRNA from 1 species